CCAUAGAAAACCUUUCUAAAAAACAAAUUUGAUCAUUUUCUGUCUUUCCAUGUCAACCCUUCAUUGAUUCUUAUUUGUCUUUAGGAUAAAGGUCCCAAAUCCUUAAUGAAGCAUAAAACUGAUUCAUUGUGACCUUGUCCAUGAUACUGACCCCUGGCAUCUACCUUUACGGAUGGAUUCAGCGGCAAUUAUGGUGAUGAUGACUCCUGGGUUGAACAUUCUGUGAAAUCUCAUAAAGAAUUCAGAAAGGAAAGGAUGACAAUAUAUUCGCCUCUUCCUCUUCAGUGUCAGGUCUCACAACGACGCAUGGGAUCGCCGAUACUUCAGAACACUCUUAGGUAAUGGAUCAUUUGAGCUCUAGGAAUGUCAAGGGCUUAAUGGCUUGAACAUAAUUUUAGGUGACUUACAGUCUUCAAGCUUCCAUUGAUGUGAUGUGGAGACCUGUUGGAGAAACUGCCCAAUAAAACCAGAUCCUGGAGUUAUCUUCGCA
rnacentral:lncRNA from 12 species